rnacentral:lncRNA from 1 species
GCGCGGGGCGCGGGGGGAGGGGGGGCGCGUACACGUGUCCGCGUGUGUGUGUGUGUGUGUGUGUGUGCGCGUGUGCGCGUGUGUGCGCGAGGCGAGGAGCCUACCAUGCGCUUCCCCCCGUGCAGAUCGCGGGAGAGCCCAACCACGGGCGAGCUGGACCCGGCUCUGAUCAUUUAUAAUCCCGGACGCCUCCGCUCCGCCACUUGUCAAGGUGACAGGGUGGGCAUCGCAGGUCAGCUGAGUCACCCGAGGAGGCUGGCCUCUCGGGCGAGGCUGAAAGCGCCAGUGACCUCGGCGCGCUGCGCGGGGCUGCGCACACCGGGACCCCCGGGAGCCCCGACCCGGCGGCGGCGGCGGAGCAGCCCCGGGACCUCCCUCCCCACCCCCCCACCCCCGGCGCGCACCGGCGGGGGAUGGCUCCUGGAGGGAGGCCUCUAA